rnacentral:rRNA from 1 species
UACAGAGGUCCCAAGCGUUGUUCGGAUUCAUUGGGCGUAAAGGGUGCGUAGGUGGCGAGGUAAGUUGGAUGUGAAAUCCUGGGGCUCAACCCCAGAACUGCAUUCAAUACUGCCUUGCUAGAGUACUGGAGAGGAGAUUGGAAUUCAUGGUGUAGCGGUGAAAUGCGUAGAUAUCAUGAGGAAGACCAGUGGCGAAGGCGGAUCUCUGGACAGUUACUGACACUGAGGCACGAAGGCCAGGGGAGCAAGCGGG